rnacentral:rRNA from 1 species
AGUGAACGCUGGCGGUAGGCCUAACACAUGCAAGUCGAACGGCAGCACAGUAAGAGCUUGCUCUUACGGGUGGCGAGUGGCGGACGGGUGAGGAAUACAUCGGAAUCUACUUUUUCGUGGGGGAUAACGUAGGGAAACUUACGCUAAUACCGCAUACGACCUACGGGUGAAAGCAGGGGAUCUUCGGACCUUGCGCGAUUGAAUGAGCCGAUGUCGGAUUAGCUAGUUGGCGGGGUAAAGGCCCACCAAGGCGACGAUCCGUAGCUGGUCUGAGAGGAUGAUCAGCCACACUGGAACUGGGACACGGUCCAGACUCCUACGGGAGGCAGCAGUGGGGAAUAUUGGACAAUGGGCGCAAGCCUGAUCCAGCCAUACCGCGUGGGUGAAGAAGGCCUUCGGGUUGUAAAGCCCUUUUGUUGGGAAAGAAAAGCAGCAGGUUAAUACCCCGCUGUUCUGACGGUACCCAAAGAAUAAGCACCGGCGAACUUCGU